rnacentral:rRNA from 1 species
GAUGAACGCUGGCGGCGUGCCUAAUACAUGCAAGUCGAGCGAACAGACGAGGAGCUUGCUCCUCUGACGUUAGCGGCGGACGGGUGAGUAACACGUGGAUAACCUACCUAUAAGACUGGGAUAACUUCGGGAAACCGGAGCUAAUACCGGAUAAUAUAUUGAACCGCAUGGUUCAAUAGUGAAAGACGGUUUUGCUGUCACUUAUAGAUGGAUCCGCGCCGCAUUAGCUAGUUGGUAAGGUAACGGCUUACCAAGGCAACGAUGCAUAGCCGACCUGAGAGGGUGAUCGGCCACACUGGAACUGAGACACGGUCCAGACUCCUACGGGAGGCAGCAGUAGGGAAUCUUCCGCAAUGGGCGAAAGCCUGACGGAGCAACGCCGCGUGAGUGAUGAAGGUCUUCGGAUCGUAAAACUCUGUUAUUAGGGAAGAACAAAUGUGUAAGUAACUAUGCACAUCUUGACGGUACCUAAUCAGAAAGCCACGGCUAACCACGUG